rnacentral:rRNA from 1 species
CCUACGGGAGGCAGCAGUGGGGAAUUUUGCGCAAUGGGGGCAACCCUGACGCAGCAACGCCGCGUGAGUGAUGAAGGCCUUCGGGUCGUAAAGCUCUGUCAGAGGGGAAGAAAUGCAGGUGGUGAACAACCAUUCUGUUUGACGGUACCCUCAAAGGAAGCACCGGCUAACUCCGUGCCAGCAGCCGCGGUAAUACGGAGGGUGCGAGCGUUGUUCGGAAUUAUUGGGCGUAAAGCGCGUGUAGGCGGUUUGUUAAGUCGGAGGUAAAAGCCCCGGGCUCAACCGGGGAAGUGCAUUGGAUACUGGCAGACUGAAGUACGGAAGAGGGGAGUGGAAUCCCCAGUGUAGGAGUAAAAUCCGUAGAUAUGGGGAGGAACACCGGUGGCGAGGGCGGCUCCCGGGACCGAUACUGACGCUG